rnacentral:rRNA from 1 species
AUCGAACGCUGGCGGCAGGCUUAACACAUGCAAGUCGAGCGGGGUGAUGGUGCUUGCACUAUCACUUAGCGGCGGACGGGUGAGUAAUGCUUAGGAAUCUGCCUAUUAGUGGGGGACAACAUCUCGAAAGGGAUGCUAAUACCGCAUACGUCCUACGGGAGAAAGCAGGGGAUCACUUGUGACCUUGCGCUAAUAGAUGAGCCUAAGUCGGAUUAGCUAGUUGGUGGGGUAAAGGCCUACCAAGGCGACGAUCAGUAGCGGGUCUGAGAGGAUGAUCCGCAACACUGGGACUGAGACACGGACCAGACUCCUACGGGAGGCAGCAGUGGGGAAUAUUGGACAAUGGGGGGAACCCUGAUCAGCCAUGCCGCGUGUGUGAAGAAGGCCUUAUGGUUGUAAAGCACUUUAAGCGAGGAGGAGGCUCUUUUGGUUAAUACCCAAGAUGAGUGGACGUUACUCGCAGAAUAAGCACCGGCUAACUCUGUGCCAGCCGCCGCUGUAA